GAUGAAGAACGCAGUGAAAUGCGAUAAGUAAUGCGAAUUGCAGAAUCCGUGAGUCAUCGAAUCUUUGAACGCACAAUGCGCCCUUUGGUAUUCCGAAGGGCAUGCCUGUUCGAGCGUCAUUAUCACCCCUCAAGCCCCGGCUUGGUGUUGGGCUCUCGGUGGUCGUCUCCGACCACCCGUCUCAAAGAUAGUGACGGCGUCCCAGAGGGAACCGAUACGAGGAGCUUUCACGAGCAUGUACGCGGGACGACUCUGCGGGCGACGGUCUUAUUUACUUUAUAUACAAGUGUUGACCUCGGAUCAGGUAGGAAUACCCGCUGAACUUAAGCAUAUCAAUAAGCGGAGGA
rnacentral:misc_RNA from 1 species